rnacentral:rRNA from 1 species
AGAGUCCACAUCGACGGGGAGGUUUGGCACCUCGAUGUCGGCUCAUCACAUCCUGGGGCUGUAGUAGGUCCCAAGGGUUGGGCUGUUCGCCCAUUAAAGUGGUACGCGAGCUGGGUUCAGAACGUCGUGAGACAGUUCGGUCCCUAUCCGUCGCAGGCGUAGGAAAUUUGAGAAGACCUGUCCUUAGUACGAGAGGACCGGGAUGGACGUACCUCUGGUGUACCAGUUGUCCUGCCAAGGGCAUGGCUGGGUAGCUAUGUACGGAAUGGAUAAGCGCUGAAAGCAUCUAAGCGCGAAGCCAACUUCAAGAUAAGAUUUCCCACCGCAAGGGUAAGACCCCAGAAAGACUAUCUGGUUGAUAGGUCGAAGGUGUAAGUGCAGCAAUGUAUUUAGCUUAUCGAUACUAAUAGGUCGAGGACUUGACCAAU